AACGAACGCUGGCGGCAGGCCUAACACAUGCAAGUCGAACGCUGUAGCAAUACAGAGUGGCAGACGGGUGAGUAACGCGUGGGAACCUUCCCAAUGGUGCGGAAUAGCCCAGGGAAACUUGGGGUAAUACCGCAUAAGCCCUUAGGGGGAAAGAUUUAUCGCCAUUGGAUGGGCCCGCGUCGGAUUAGCUAGUUGGUGAGGUAAUGGCUCACCAAGGCAACGAUCCGUAGCUGGUUUGAGAGAAUGACCAGCCACACUGGGACUGAGACACGGCCCAGACUCCUACGGGGGGCAGCAGUGGGGAAUAUUGGACAAUGGGCGCAAGCCUGAUCCAGCCAUGCCGCGUGAGUGAUGAAGGCCCUAGGGUUGUAAAGCUCUUUCGCCAGGGACGAUAAUGACGGUACCUGGAUAAGAAGCCCCGGCUAACUUCGUGCCAGCCGCCGCAGUAACAC
rnacentral:rRNA from 1 species